rnacentral:lncRNA from 1 species
CCGGAGAACGACUCCUUAGGAACGAGAAGAGAGAGGGACUAACAUAUACUUCCAGGACCCUGGUCCUGCCUCUGUGACCCGUCCUGCACUUUGAUCUCCUGGCGCUCCUCAGACUGGGCGGCUCCAGCUGUUUGACUCUGCAACUGACAUCGGUCAUACGCGCUCUGCUUUCACUCGGAGGCCGGGAUCUAAGGUCUCAUAACAGAUCACUGGAAGGAAGAAGCAUAGCCUGAUCACCC